rnacentral:rRNA from 1 species
UACGUAGGGGGCGAGCGUUGUCCGGAAUCAUUGGGCGUAAAGAGCGUGUAGGCGGACUGGAAGGUCUGGUGUGAAAGCCCGGGGCUCAACCCCGGAGGGUCACCGGAAACCGACAGUCUUGAAUCUGGAAGAGGAGAGUGGAAUUCCUGGUGUAGCGGUGGAAUGCGCAGAUAUCAGGAGGAACACCAAUGGCGAAGGCAGCUCUCUGGUACAUGAUUGACGCUGAGACGCGAAAGCGUGGGGAGCGAACAGGAUUAGAUACCCUGGUAGUCCACGCCGUAAACGAUGGGUGCUAGGUGUGGGAGGUGUCGACUCCUUCCGUGCCGAAGCUAACGCAUUAAGCACCCCGCCUGGGGAGUACGGCCGCAAGGCUAAA